rnacentral:rRNA from 1 species
AGCGAACGCUGGCGGCAGGCUUAACACAUGCAAGUCGAACGCCCGUAGCAAUACGGGAGUGGCAGACGGGUGAGUAACGCGUGGGAACAUGCCCUUUGGUUCGGAAUAACUCAGGGAAACUUGAGCUAAUACCGGAUAAGCCCGAGAGGGGAAAGAUUUAUCGCCGAAGGAUUGGCCCGCGUCCGAUUAGCUAGUCGGUGAGGUAAUGGCUCACCAAGGCGACGAUCGGUAGCUGGUCUGAGAGGAUGAUCAGCCACACUGGGACUGAGACACGGCCCAGACUCCUACGGGAGGCAGCAGUGGGGAAUAUUGGACAAUGGGGGCAACCCUGAUCCAGCCAUGCCGCGUGAGUGAUGAAGGCCCUAGGGUUGUAAAGCUCUUUCGGCGGGGACGAUAAUGACGGUACCCGCAGAAGAAGCCCCGGCUAACUUCGUGCCAGCAGCCGCGGUAA